CAAAAAAAAAAAAAAAAAAAAAAAAUGGGUCUUUGUUUUAAAGUCACAUUGUUUUCUUUCUGUGAACUUUGUUCAGUUGAGAUAUGAAGAUGACCUCAAACGGUUCUGAAGGUUUUUUUCUGUCUUCAUGAUUUGUAAGACCAUGAUUCAACUUCAAGAGUCAAAAUUCCCACUGGAGGAAAUUCAUUGAGUUAGGAGAGUCAUCAGGAAAAUCUACCUAGAAAUUAAGAAGUGGUUAUUAAAACCACAGGAGCUCAGUAUAGCUAAGGGAAGGAAGAUCCAGACUGCAAUGAAAGAUUUGCAAAGAGUUCUAGUACUGAAAUUGACAUUGGAAAUCAUCAAGCUGACUCAAUAUUUUUAAAGAAGAGGAAAAAGAAGUCGAGAGGCUACUCAGGUAUCUGGGGUC
rnacentral:lncRNA from 1 species